AGCGCCCCGCAAGGGGAGCGGCAGACGGGUGAGUAACGCGUGGGAAUCUACCGAGCCCUACGGAAUAACGCAUGGAAACGUGUGCUAAUACCGUAUACGCCCUACGGGGGAAAGAUUUAUCGGGGUUUGAUGAGCCCGCGUUGGAUUAGCUAGUUGGUGGGGUAAAGGCCUACCAAGGCGACGAUCCAUAGCUGGUCUGAGAGGAUGAUCAGCCACAUUGGGACUGAGACACGGCCCAAACUCCUACGGGAGGCAGCAGUGGGGAAUAUUGGACAAUGGGCGCAAGCCUGAUCCAGCCAUGCCGCGUGAGUGAUGAAGGUCUUAGGAUUGUAAAGCUCUUUCACCGGAGAAGAUAAUGACGGUAUCCGGAGAAGAAGCCCCGGCUAACUUCGUGCCAGCAGCCGCGGUAAUACGAAGGGGGCUAGCGUUGUUCGGAAUUACUGGGCGUAAAGCGCACGUAGGCGGAUAUUUAAGUCAGGGGUGAAAUCCCAGAGCUCAACUCUGGAACUGCCUUUGAUACUGGGUAUCUAGAGUAUGGAAGAGGUGAGUGGAAUUCCGAGUGUAAAGGUGAAAUUCGUAGAUAUUCGGAGGACACCAGUG
rnacentral:rRNA from 1 species